GUGGGUUGCUACUUUGAUCCAUUGUGCUCUUGCUGUGUACACAGUUACAGUGAAACAGUGGCUGUAUGGCUAUUGAGUUUUAGAGCUCACAGGACUAUAAGUCAAUGGCCACAUGAACUGGCUAAGCCAGACUCCAAUGUAGCCAUCCCUGUGGUUCCCUGUUCCUAGGCACUGGCACAUGCCCUCAUGUUUGUACAUGCAAUAAGGGGGGGAAUACAUCCCUCAAGAACUAACUUGGGCAAAACAAAGGCAAAAUGUCUUUUUCAGCUGGGCAAAUUCCCCAUUCCUGUCCAUUGUUAUGCUGUGAAAAACAUCUUUCUGUGCCAAAAGGAAAUGGAGACAUGGAAUGGGAAAAAGCAGCUUCAUCAAGAAAGAGAUUCCAGCACAAAUGAAGGAAGUCUUUCUUCUUUGUCAGUCUCCAUAAUUGAAACUGAAGCUGCUACAAAUUACAUCUUUCCUCUGGUGGGAGACACUCAUGUGGCAUCCCUCAGAAAUCCAGAAUUCUGCAUACCUGUUGCUUGA
ensembl:lncRNA